GAAGUUUAGCUGAGAUACAUGCCGCCAAAACGCCUGAGCGGCUUAGAUUGUUGGUGUGGGGUAAAUUGGGUAUGGUCGUAUAAGGUUCAGUACCCGGCGCCUCCACCAAAAACCGGCCAGGCGAGCUUUGCUUCAGACCGGCUUUUGAUGGGGGCGAAAUAGGAUCGACAAGGGCGUAAAGAUCGACUUUUUGCUCGGCAUUGUACCACCGUUAUCGGGCUAAAAUUGUAGUUGCAAACGACAACUAUGCGGAAGCUCGUCUCGCUGCCUAACGGUGGUGUGACACUUCAAAUCAAGUCCUGAAGGUUCGCACCUUAAGGCGGGGUUCGAAGGUACCUGGCAACAGAAACCUUCACC
rnacentral:tmRNA from 2 species